rnacentral:miRNA from 1 species
CCUCCGUUUUAGGUUAUAAGACUUUCUAUCAUUGCCCACAUUCAUAUAGAUGUUAAUGAAUCUAGGCACGUAUACAUGUCUAGAUUCAUUAUCAUAUAUAUGGAUAUGGACAAUGCUAGAAAAAUUUAUAAUAUGAAACGGAGG